rnacentral:lncRNA from 1 species
UCAGUUGUGAUCGAGGCUUCGGGGGGAGCACCUUCGCCAGGCCCUGGACUUGAUCCGGACUUAACGAAUCAGGAAACUCAACAUUGAAAUGAAUAUACAGUUUGCCCUUCAUGAAUGACCUCCGAUAUAUGGGCAUUCCUUCAUCAUUGAUCGCCUUGUAAGAAUCUGCGGAAUCACAACAUACAAAGAUGAGUACAAUUCGAUCAUGAUUGUUCAAUUACUGCCAAGAUGGAAAAAAAAAAAUCGAAAAAAAGGACAGAAAAUUGACCAGGCUUCAGGACUUCUCCAGGGUGUGACUUGAUAAGGAGCUGUCUGCCAUCCAAAUGUGUCAGUAUAUACUGGAAGCCACACAGUGCCUCAGUGAGUGACAGCGUGCGCUCGACAAAAAGAUCAUCACCCUUUCUAUUAAAUUUAGGGUGUUCCUUCUGCUGAAGCACAAAAACUAUGUCUCCAGUGACCAUAUCAGGCUGCAAAGAAACCAAAGGUAAGUUAGCACCAGUCCUCAAACGCGCGGCAAAACUAAUUUAAAGAAACAUGAUAUGAGGCCAUCAUACCGCCUCAUCAGCUUCCCCAGGGAAUGUAACUUUCUGCCCAUUCUGCAUGCCCUUCUCAACAUGGACCUCCAAAACUUUCUUUUCCUGAACAACCUUCUCACCUUUGCAUUGAGGGCACCGAUCUCUAUCACUGAUCGUCUCCCCAGUUCCUUUGCAUUGAUUGCAAGGAUGCUGCAUUU